CGUGUAGGCGGUUUGGCAAGUCAGAGGUGAAAUCCCCCGGCUCAACCGGGGACCUGCCUUUGAAACUACCGAACUUGAGGCCGUGAGAGGAAACUGGAAUUCCUAGUGUAGCGGUGAAAUGCAUAGAUAUUAGGAAGAACACCAGUGGCGAAGGCGAGUUUCUGGCACGGUUCUGACGCUGAUGCGCGAAAGCUAGGGGAGCGAAC
rnacentral:rRNA from 1 species